GAUGUUACGGUCGUGAUGCCUGCUUCCAAGAGCAAUUAAGUCUUUUUAUUAAAUUUUUUUGUGUCAUCUUGUAUGAUUUCCACGUAGUGGUAGACGGUGGUUCAGACAAAAUCACCAAAAGAGCACGUAGUUUUUCUGCAGUUCUUUUGACAUUUCGCAGCCUAGCGACAAUCGCAAAACCUAAAUCGAUUGACGUCAGCAGCUCUUCCAAAUCUGUUAAGUUGUUCAUCUGUUGGUGGUUUGAGUUGAAUUUCAGGUGACUAAUUGGAGUAAGCUCUUGUCAUCUUACAAAGAUAUGAUGAUUUGCAGUCAUUUUUUAGAUGAGCCAACCACUGCUGGCUUUGGAAAGGGUAUGUUGGAGUGCAUUAGAUUGUAUUAAACAACAACAUAUACCCAUUACAAUCCCACAAACUGGGGCCUACAGAAGAUACAGGUGAAGUUGCUGGAAAAAUAGUUGAGAAAACGACAAGUAUGCUUUGGUGAUGUGCUUGUAGCAGCGAAAAAUUGGAUGGUAACAGAAAAGAUACAGUAUUCAUACUGGCAUCGAAUCGAGUUCCAUUUGGACCUUGACAGUUACUGGAGGGUGCACCGCUCGGUCAGUUACUGACUCCCAGCCCAACUGUAAAGAAUAGAUUUUCAUCGAAUGUCUGAAAUUGAACUACAAUACUCAUGGACUUAGGACCUGUGUACAAGCUGUGCUUUUGGUUAGUUUCUCUUUCUUGCUUUCUUAAUGGCAAAAAAUACUUUUGAAAAAUGAAAAAAAAUAAUUUUUAUUUUUGUAUGUAAAUAAGCAAGUAUGAUAUUUUUCUUGACAAAAAAGAUAAGUAUGUCAUAAAUAAGGAUGGAGGUAGUAGUUAUUUUGGCUUUAUGUUCUACGCGGCAGGAAUGCUUCAUUUAGAGUUGGGAUAGGAUUUGAUAACUUUUGUGAAUUAUAUCAUGUAAAGAUAUUUCAAACAAGUUUAUUAGUAAGUAUUCUGUUUCAGCAUUUUUUGAUCAAAGAUAUCUUAAUUUACUUUUAAUCUCGGUGUCUAGGACUUCCUGAUCACCGAAGUGGAAAAGAACUAGCCAUUAGAUGUCCUGGAAUAUUUUUUGAUCAAUGAUAUCUUAAUUUACUUUUAAUCUCGGUGUCUAGGACUUCCUGAUCACCGAAGUGGAAAAGAACUAGCCAUUAGAUGUAGGGGUGUGCAUCGGUCGGUUUGGUUCGGUUUUACGUGUUAUUGGUUCGGUUUAUCGGUUUUCGGUUUUUAAAUAUGUAAAACCAAUAACCAAUCAAUAAGAUAUUUUCUUAUCGGUUUCAGUUUAUCGUUUUUUGGUUCUUAACGGUUCGAUUUUCGGUUUAACCAAUAAGAAAAUACUUAUAAAAUAGAAAUAGCAACAACUAACAUAAAAAAAUAAAAUCUUAAUUAUCGCCAAAACCAUGCAAUGCAUUUUAGUUUAUAAGAAUCUUCAAACUUGAACUGAAUGUUAGUUAGGAAAAAAAUUGAAUUCUAAUUGUUGGAAGCUUUAAAUGUUUUAAGGUUUUCAUUACGAUAAUAGCGGAACUUUAUAUUGUGCCUUUGUUGUCCUAAAUAGGUUAAUACUUUGUGAAUCACUGAAUUGUGAAUUAGUAGUGCAUAUAAUCUAGAUAGAUAAAGAGAGAGAGAGAGAUUUAUAUAUAUAACAUAAAUAGGGAUAAAAUAAUAACUUAGUGUAUCCACCGAUAACCCAAUAAGCUAAAAUCGAUACCGAACUGUUUACCCAAUAAUUUUUUUUAUAAAACCAAUAAAAAACCAUUAACCCGAUAACCCAAUACCAAUAACCCAAUAAUAUUUUUAUUGGUUCGGUUUAUCGGUCGGUUCAGUUUUUGCACAGCCCUAAUUAGAUGUCCUGGAACUGGCCUAACCGUAGAUCUUAGGUUUGGUCCCGAAGAAUGAAGUACCGUUAGAUACUAGAAUACAAAUUGGUCAGACCAAUAAGUUUUGGAUACCUAAUGGCUCACAAGAAAAAAGUAGAAGGAAAAGACAGAACAAAACCAAUCUUUCUACUACUUAUUUUCCAUCUAAAAGGUUUUAAAAACGCUUUUUAGAAAUAAGUGAAGGUUUCAGUUGUUUCUGCCAGCAAAUUAGGCACGGGCUUUUCAUUGACAGCUAAAUAAUUUUUUACAAUCCUUUACAGUCCUUGGAGCAGAUGCCUCUUAUGCUCUCUUAACAAGUGCUUUAACUUUGUGCAAGCACCGAGGGUAUAAGGUGUGCUUCAAUGCUGUGAGUUUUUUUCUAAAGAAGCUGGUAGCGUUAAAGAUGAAUAUGGCGAGCAAAAUUAUGAAUUAUUAAGGAGUCAUUGCAGAUCAAUAUUUCAGUCAAUAGAAAUUUAUACAAUGAGAUUAGAAAUUUAAAAUAAAUUAGAAAAAAUAGUAGUUUUGCAUAUAAUCACAUAUUUAAAUUUGUUUUGAAUCUUGGAUGCCAUUUUGAACUUUAUAUAAAAUUGCUACUAGUAACUGGCUUAGCAGGCCAUUUACUUUAUGGAUGGGAAAAUCCAAUAAAAUUGGAAUGCUAGAGUGUGCCAUGGCCCCUGCACAAGGAUGCAACACAAAUCAAGAAAUGAUCCAAACUUUUCAAAUUGUACACGUGAUUUCCAGCUCUAGAAGCUGUUCUCUUAUCUAGCAUUUCUUUCUCCUCAUUUUGGAAAAAAGUUGCGACAGGGUUCUCCUGCUAAUACCCUACUACUUUGAUUUAAUAUCCAUGAGUAAACACCUCCAGGCUUAAGUUCGUUUGAGUAUAAUAGUGACCUAAAGAUGUAAGUUCUGUCUCUGUCUUUUAUAAACAACUUGGUACUGCAGCUAAUCAUGUUUGAUUCGUAACCGCUGAAUAAGUAAAGCCUAUGGCGUGCUGCAACUAAACCUGCUUGAUUCAUUAAGUGCUGAUAUGUAGUGUCAUCAAGAAAGCUCAUGAGUCAGUUGUGCAACUUCCUAAGCAGUUUUAGCUCCUUCUCUGGUCUUGCCGCCCUCUCUUUUUUUUCUCUGCCAUGUAAUAUAUAGCUGGUUGUUCAUCAGCUUUGAUUAGGACAUCAGUUGUCCGAGUUGGUCCCACCAUAAGAACCGACAUUGUGAAGGGUUUAACAUAAGAGGCAUCUGCUCCAAGGACUGUAAAUUUGUAGUUGGCCACAGUGAAGAAAAGUUGCUGGCUCAUUCCAGCGUUGAUAACUCGAAGAAGGUUGGAACUUAGUGAAACUCACUUGAUGGUGAUCGGAAUCUUAUCAGCGACGUUCCUUCGGAGUAAGUUAUUAUGCUACAAUAUUUUAUGUCAAACAUCUAAAAUUAGAAGACAAUAUUAUAAUUUGUAAUUGCAUUCUCUCAUUGUUCAAUUUGGAUGUACAGAGGAAAUUGUACAUUAUUGGGAAAUAUUACAACUCCUUUGAUAGCAUGAUUUGGACA